UAGGAUAAUUAUUUUAACAAUGAUUAUUUUUGUUAUUCAUUGAAUUACCUUAUAUAUAUCAUUGAUCAAAUAGCGAGAUCAUUGGUAAAUCGAUAGGUUGAAAAAAUUUAGUUGCUCGCGUGGUAAACCGCAAAACGGUGCUGUAAAUCGUCCCACACGAUCUCUAUCAGAUUUCCACUCGCUUAACAUUUAUUUUUUCUAUUUUCUUUUUUUUUUUCAUUCUAUCAACCACGAGCUUGCUUGCGUAGCACUCUCGACGAAUUAAAAAGAGAAGCAGGAGGCGGAGGAAAGAGAAAGAGAGAGAUAAACAAGUGGUCGUUUUACGUACGUUGUCGGGUCCUCUCAAUGCCAUCGCCAUUAGUUUAGAUGGUUUUUUUUAUUCGAUAUAGUCUAUAUUAGGGGUAAGGGAAGCAAGAGGAUCGGUCGUUCAUCGCGAAAGAGGGCUAGAAGAGGAAAGAGGGAAGAAGAGAGAGUUAGAGAGAAAAAGAGAGCGAAAGAGAGAGAGGACAUCCUCAUUCCGGAACACGAUCGAGAUCAGCAUCGAGCCGACUAAUAAAGAGGAUGAGGAGAAGGUGGAGGAAGAGGAGGAGGAGGAGGUGGUGGCGGAGGAGGUGAACUCGUUGAGCAACAAAUUAGUUGUACCAGGAGGUAACGCGGGGAUUACGCAAUAAUUCGUCGUCGUGGUACUGCUAGCCGAUAAGUAGGCCGGACACGGAGAAAUGGUGGAACGGAGAUGACCUUGAGAUGGGAACGGAUGCGCUGCGGAAGUUGGGGACUCCCUAGGGAUGAACGAGUAAAGAAAUUGCCUCGAUAUCGAAUCAUUUUAGCGAUAACUUUGGAAAGUAUCGAAUUCUUCUGUUUACAGAACCGUACGGUAGGAGCUCGUAAAUUUAAUUUUUCUGAACAAAGCUUUUCGGCGUAGCCCCAUUGAAAGACGAUAAAAUGUUUACGCGAGCUUGAAACUCGGCGAAUGUUUAUCACGUUAACGUUGUUUUACCUCAAAAGUACAACCACCAAGAAGUUUUCCACGAUAAAAUUGAUAAAAGUCCUCUAACGUCCACGAUAUUUGCUCUAGUAGAAUGGAAUUUCUGGGUAACUCUGGACAAGGAUUAAUGAUCCUUCGGCGACGGGUUGCCAUCGGAGAUAAUUCUACUAAAUUUACUACUACUACUCACCCCUUCUCUUCUUUUUUUGUCCAACCAUCCUUCUGUUACAAACACUACUACCAUAAUCAACACUACCACUAGCAACGCUCAUCCUCACCCUUUACAAUGGAGAAACGAAUGGAAAAAAUGAACGAGCGCUCUCGUGAUUGACUAUUCUCUUACUCUCUGGAUCAAACCUAUCCCUUUUUUUUAUCCUCUCCACCCCGUUUCUUUCCCAUUCACGCGUAUAUUCUCUCACCCCUUUAAGCAAAAA
rnacentral:lncRNA from 1 species